GUUGGGUAGGGGAGCGUUCUGUAAGCCUGUGAAGGUGUGUCGUGAGGCAUGCUGGAGGUAUCAGAAGUGCGAAUGCUGACAUAAGUAACGAUAAAGCGGGUGAAAAGCCCGCUCGCCGGAAGACCAAGGGUUCCUGUCCAACGUUAAUCGGGGCAGGGUGAGUCGACCCCUAAGGCGAGGCCGAAAGGCGUAGUCGAUGGGAAACGGGUUAAUAUUCCCGUACUUGGUGUUACUGCGAAGGGGGGACGGAGAAGGCUAUGUUGGCCGGGCGACGGUUGUCCCGGUUUAAGCGUGUAGGUGUGUGUUCCAGGUAAAUCCGGUUCACUUUAACACUGAGGCGUGACGACGAGGCACUACGGUGCUGAAGCAACAAAUGCCCUGCUUCCAGGAAAAGCCUCUAAGCAUCAGGUAACAUCAAAUCGUACCCCAAACCGACACAGGUGGUCAGGUAGAGAAUACCAAGGCGCUUGAGAGAACUCGGGUGAAGGAACUAGGCAAAAUGGUGCCGUAACUUCGGGAGAAGGCACGCUGACACGUAGGUGAAGUGAUUUACUCAUGGAGCUGAAGUCAGUCGAAGAUACCAGCUGGCUGCAACUGUUUAUUAAAAACACAGCACUGUGCAAACACGAAAGUGGACGUAUACGGUGUGACGCCUGCCCGGUGCCGGAAGGUUAAUUGAUGGGGUCAGCGCAAGCGAAGCUCCUGAUCGAAGCCCCGGUAAACGGCGGCCGUAACUAUAACGGUCCUAAGGUAGCGAAAUUCCUUGUCGGGUAAGUUCCGACCUGCACGAAUGGCGUAAUGAUGGCCAGGCUGUCUCCACCCGAGACUCAGUGAAAUUGAACUCGCUGUGAAGAUGCAGUGUACCCGCGGCAAGACGGAAAGACCCCGUGAACCUUUACUAUAGCUUGACACUGAACAUUGAGCCUUGAUGUGUAGGAUAGGUGGGAGGCUUUGAAGCGUGGACGCCAGUCUGCGUGGAGCCGACCUUGAAAUACCACCCUUUAAUGUUUGAUGUUCUAACGUGGACCCGUGAUCCGGGUUGCGGACAGUGUCUGGUGGGUAGUUUGACUGGGGCGGUCUCCUCCUAAAGAGUAACGGAGGA
rnacentral:rRNA from 1 species